CGAGUGAAGCGGCAACAGCUCAAAUUUGAAAUCUGGCGCAAGCCCGAGUUGUAAUUUGUAGAGGAUGUUUCUGGCGACGUGCCUUCCGAGUUCCCUGGAACGGGACGCCAUARAGGGUGAGAGCCCCGUACGGUUGGAUGCCUAGCCUCUGUGAAACUCCUUCGACGAGUCGAGUAGUUUGGGAAUGCUGCUCUAAAUGGGAGGUAUACGUCUUCUAAAGCUAAAUACCGGCCAGAGACCGAUAGCGCACAAGUAGAGUGAUCGAAAGAUGAAAAGCACUUUGAAAAGAGGGUUAAAAAGUACGUGAAAUUGUUGAAAGGGAAGCGUUCAUGACCAGACUUGGGCAGGUUGAUCAUCCGUGGUUCUCCGCGGUGCACUCUGCCUGCCCAGGCCAGCAUCAGUUCGCCCCGGGGGAUAAAGGCUCUGGGAAUGUGGCUCCUCCGGGAGUGUUAUAGCCCACUGCGUAAUACCCUGGGGUGGACUGAGGUUCGCGCUCUGCAAGGAUGCUGGCGUAAUGGUCAUCAACGACCCGUCUUGAAACACGGACCAAGGAGUCGUCUUCGUAUGCGAGUGUUCGGGUGUCAAACCCCUACGCGUAAUGAAAGUGAACGUAGGAGAGAGCUUCGGMGCAUCUCMGACCGAUCCUGAYGUUCUCGGAUGGAUUUGAGUAAGAGCAUACGGGGCCGGACCCGAAAGAAGGUGAACUAUGCCUGUAUAGGGUGAAGCCA
rnacentral:rRNA from 1 species